rnacentral:rRNA from 1 species
CAUGCAGUCGACGGAAGGCCCUUCGGGGUACUCGAGUGGCGAACGGGUGAGUAACACGUGGGUGAUCUGCCCUGCACUUUGGGAUAAGCCUGGGAAACUGGGUCUAAUACCGAAUACACCCUUCUGGCUGCAUGGUCUGGGAGGGGAAAGCUUUUGCGGUGUGGGAUGGGCCCGCGGCCUAUCAGCUUGUUGGUGAGGUUAUGGCUUACCAAGGCGACGACGGGUAGCCGGCCUGAGAGGGUGACCGGCCACACUGGGACUGAGAUACGGCCCAGACUCCUACGGGAGGCAGCAGUGGGGAAUAUUGCACAAUGGGCGCAAGCCUGAUGCAGCGACGCCGCGUGAGGGAUGACGGCCUUCGGGUUGUAAACCUCUUUCGCCAGGGACGAAGCGCAAGUGACGGUACCUGGAGAAGAAGGACCGGCCAACUACGUGCCAGCAGCCGCGGUAAUACGUAGGGUCCGAGCGUUGUCCGGAAUUACUGGGCGUAAAGAGCUCGUAGGUGGUUUGUCGCGUUGUCCGUGAAAACUCACAGCUCAACUGUGGGCGUGCGGGCGAUACGGGCAGACUGGAGUACUGCAGGGGAGACUGGAAUUCCUGGUGUAGCGGUGGAAUGCGCAGAUAUCAGGAGGAACACCGGUGGCGAAGGCGGGUCUCUGGGCAGUAACUGACGCUGAGGAGCGAAAGCGUGGGGAGCGAACAGGAUUAGAUACCCUGGUAGUCCACGCCGUAAACGGUGGGUACUAGGUGUGGGUUUCCUUCCUUGGGAUCCGUGCCGUAGCUAACGCAUUAAGUACCCCGCCUGGGGAGUACGGCCGCAAGGCUAAAACUCAAAGAAAUUGACGGGGGCCCGCACAAGCGGCGGAGCAUGUGGAUUAAUUCGAUGCAACGCGAAGAACCUUACCUGGGUUUGACAUGCACAGGACGCCGGCAGAGAUGUCGGUUCCCUUGUGGCCUGUGUGCAGGUGGUGCAUGGCUGUCGUCAGCUCGUGUCGUGAGAUGUUGGGUUAAGUCCCGCAACGAGCGCAACCCUUAUCUUAUGUUGCCAGCGCGUAAUGGCGGGGACUCGUGAGAGACUGCCGGGGUCAACUCGGAGGAAGGUGGGGAUGACGUCAAGUCAUCAUGCCCCUUAUGUCCAGGGCUUCCACCUUGCUACAAUGGCCGGUACAAAAGGCUCCAAUNCCC